UUGCGGAAACGGAUGAUCGCUGGGCUUCAGCCUGGAGGAAAGUCCGGACUCCCUGGAGGAAAGUGCCAGAUAACGUCUGGCGGCGUUGCCGGGACAUCGACACAAUCGUGAUUGUGCUGUAUAUACAUACGUAAAUUAUGUGGUAUACAUGCAUAGUCCGGUGUGUCGAAUAGUGACGGUGAUGUUAGGGAAAGUGCAACAGAAAAUAUACCGCCUUCGGGCAAGGGUGAAAUGGUGAGGUAAGAGCUCACCGCGCAGUUGGCAACAACGGCGGCACGGCAAACCCCACUUGGAGCAAGAUCAAAUAGGAAUAACAUUUAAUGUCCUCCACAUAUGGUUAUUCGGGUAGAUCGCUUGAUGUUUACGGUGACGUAAAUACCAGAUGAAUGAUCAUCGAAAUGCGUUUUUCGCAUUUUACAGAAUCCGGCUUAUAGUUUCCGCAGAAAU
rnacentral:RNase_P_RNA from 1 species